UAAAACGUAGGACACGAGCGUUAUCCGGAGUUACUGGGCGUAAAGGGCGUGCAGGCGGUUGCGUAAGACUGAUGUGAAAGCGCCCGGCUUAACCGGGCGAGGACAUUGGUGACUGCGUAACUUGAGGCAGAUAGAGGGGUGUAGAAUUCCGGGUGUAGUGGUGAAAUGCGUAGAGAUCCGGAGGAAUACCAGAGGCGAAGGCGGCACCCUGGGUCUGACCUGACGCUGAGACGCGACAGCAUGGGGAGCGAACGGG
rnacentral:rRNA from 1 species